GCCCGGGACGCCGCGUUGCCGCCGUCGUGCACUGCUCCGGGCCCUGCGAGGAGGAGAGAAGAAGGUGAAGAGCAGGCAGGGGAGAAGGGAACGGGCCGAGGCUUUUCUGGCCGGAGGAGGUCUCUCCCGUGAGCCGAUGAGGCCGGGAGCUCCUGUCUGCGGGUGCAAGGUGGAUGGUGCUCCCGCACGGGAGGACGGAGGCUCCGCAGGCACAGAGGAGAGCUCCCGCUCUGGGCGAGCGGAGACUGGAGCGGGCCGAGCGGGCAGGGAGCGGCGGUAAUGGCAGGAGGGCAGGGGAGCCAUCCCCGUCCGGAAGGUGCGGGACUCAGUGUGGCAUCGCUGUCGUGGAGUCGUGGGCACGUGAGAAAUGGGAGGCGGCUGGAGGAAGACGGCUCCGCGGCAAGGAGCGAUCCGUGCACGUACUUCGCACUUGUAUUGCACCCUGCACCUGGAGGUCAGGAGGCACGGCCAGAGGGCAAGGCGGCCAGGACAAGAGCGGCGCUACGGAGCCGGGCCA